rnacentral:rRNA from 1 species
AUUGAACGCUGGCGGCAGGCCUAACACAUGCAAGUCGGACGGUAGCACAGAGAGCUUGCUCUUGGGUGACGAGUGGCGGACGGGUGAGUAAUGUCUGGGGAUCUGCCCGAUAGAGGGGGAUAACCACUGGAAACGGUGGCUAAUACCGCAUAACGUCGCAAGACCAAAGAGGGGGGACCUUCGGGCCUCCCACUAUCGGAUGAACCCAGAUGGGAUUAGCUAGUAGGCGGGGUAAUGGCCCACCUAGGCGACGAUCCCUAGCUGGCCUGAGAGGAUGACCAGCCACACUGGAACUGAGACACGGUCCAGACUCCUACGGGAGGCAGCAGUGGGGAAUAUUGCACAAUGGACGCAAGCCUGAUGCAGCCAUGCCGCGUGUAUGAAGAAGGCCUUCGGGUUGUAAAGUACUUUCAGCGGGGAGGAAGGCGACGCGGUUAAUAACCGCGUCGAUUGACGUUACCCGCAGAAGAAGCACCGGCUAACUCCGUGCCAGCCGCCGCAGUAA